rnacentral:tRNA from 1 species
GGAGAGGAAGAUGUCCGGUGGCAUCCGCGGGCUUCAAACCCGUCGUGGGGCGGCACACCUGUCCCUGGUAGGUUCGACUCCUACCCUCUCCGCCA